ensembl:rRNA 5S_rRNA 5S ribosomal RNA
GCCUAGGGUCAUACCACCCUAAAUGUGUCCGAUCUUGUCUGAUUUAGGAACCAAAUUAGAGUUGGGCCUGGUUAGCUCCUGAAUGGGAGAGCACGUGGGAAUACCAGGUGUUACAGGCA